rnacentral:misc_RNA from 1 species
AGAUCCAGUAGCAUACAAACCAAGUAAAAAUAAAGCUUAACACUAAUCACGAUAUAAAAAAUGGAUUGAAGCACGGCUAUAUGAUGAAGGCAAAGAAUGGCGCCAAAAGAUGACCUAAGAUAAAUGUGCAUGAUGCCACUGUCUCUCAUCAAUAUAAGCAAUUCACCAGCUUUGCUAUCUAAACCAUCUCCAAAUUCUUUACCUUGCCAUCCAAGAUCGUGGAACUGUUGUUAUAAUAUAACACAAACACAUUUGUUC